GUCCACGCCGUAAACGAUGGAUGCUAGCCGUUGGCAGGCUUGCCUGUCAGUGGCGCAGCUAACGCAUUAAGCAUCCCGCCUGGGGAGUACGGUCGCAAGAUUAAAACUCAAAGGAAUUGACGGGGGCCCGCACAAGCGGUGGAGCAUGUGGUUCAAUUCGAAGCAACGCGCAGAACCUUACCAACCUUUGACAUCCCGGUCGCGGGCACCAGAGAUGGAGCCUUUCAGUUCGGCUGGACCGGAGACAGGUGCUGCAUGGCUGUCGU
rnacentral:rRNA from 1 species